UACGUAGGGUGCAAGCGUUACUCGGAAUUACUGGGCGUAAAGCGUGCGCAGGCGGUUAUGCAAGACAGAGGUGAAAUCCCCGGGCUCAACCUGGGAACUGCCUUUGUGACUGCAUGGCUAGAGUACGGUAGAGGGGGAUGGAAUUCCGCGUGUAGCAGUGAAAUGCGUAGAUAUGUGGAGGAACACCGAUGGCGAAGGCAAUCCCCUGGACCUGUACUGACGCUCAUGCACGAAAGCGUGGGGAGCAAACAGG
rnacentral:rRNA from 1 species